UGUUUGUUUUGGUCUCAGAAACAGAAACAUUGCCUUCAGCCACUGAAAGACGAUCUAUUGCAUCCGAAUUAGUUGAAAGGGCAUUGUGUUCAUUCACGGUGAAGCUAGUGAAGUUUGAUGAACUAGAAUGUGAAGAAGUCGAGUAAAACCUGAUGUAUGCGAACAGAACAUCGUACUCAUAGGAACCAAUACAAACAUCAGUGUUAAAUCUGGGUGUAUUUGUAGCAAGUCAAAUGAAGGUACACAGCAAGCGAAGACUUAGACGUUGGAUAAGAUUCGGACCCACAUUUUUCUGCUAGCUGCUUUAGUAAGACAACUGCCACAUUUAUUUGUAUGGGCUUCCUACGUUACGUGGUUUUAUAUCUUUGCAGGUUGGGGUAAUCGACGCCGUCUCACUGGUAGUCUCAGACACCAGCGUCAGGAUCUCUCUUGAAUCUGGGCCGGAUUUCGCGUCCAAGAAAAUGCGUGCUUCUCACUUCGGAGACGUACACUGGUGUUUUAUUGAGUCCCUACCCAGGAAGAGCUGCUGUUUUAACUUGGGCGUGGGAAGCAAUGAUACUAGACGUGAAACUCAGCGGCCCGGACACGUCACCGGGAGCCCCGUGAUAGGUGCGCCGUGAGGUUGCUUCCAUCGACGUAGUGGGUCCCGUCGUAGUGCCGGAACUUGUGGCUGUAGGCCUGAGUAUAGUACCCACCGUGACAUCCAUAUCCGCUAUGGGGGACUUGGGCACGAAGGGAGUUCCUCCGAUCAAGUGGUCACCCACCCACUACCCCGGUGCACUCCGCGACAUCGUCGGUAAGGCCAUAAGUGAAACGUAGUUACUAUUGUCGCAGUCUAAGAACAUUUUUCGAAUGCCCGAAGAUGUAGCGUUAAAUAUUUUUGAGAGAUAAUUGUGUUGUUAACGCCGGGGAUUUGCAUUAUCGUGGUAUAUUUCUUCGUAACAUUUCUGUAUUCUUCUGAAGCGCCUAAUGGAGACAAUGAAAACAAUAUGAGGAGAAGUUAAGAACCCGGUACCUCAUGAUUAUAAUUUCGUUGCUACAUCGAACUUGCAGACUGGUGUCAGAGUGAAAUGGCUAAUCGCAAAAGCACAGAUAACCAAUUACGGUAGCCAGAACUAAUACACUGAUUCGUCAUUUGU